rnacentral:rRNA from 1 species
UACGAAGGGGGCUAGCGUUGUUCGGAUUUACUGGGCGUAAAGCGCACGUAGGCGGAUCGUUAAGUCGGGGGUGAAAUCCUGGAGCUCAACUCCAGAACUGCCUUCGAUACUGGCGAUCUUGAGUCCGGAAGAGGUGAGUGGAACUCCUAGUGUAGAGGUGGAAUUCGUAGAUAUUAGGAAGAACACCAGUGGCGAAGGCGGCUCACUGGACCGGCAUUGACGCUGAGGUGCGAAAGCGUGGGGAGCAAACAGG